rnacentral:rRNA from 1 species
AUGGAAGCCACCGCCGCCGCCUCCCUCGCACGGACCCUCGCCUCCUCGCCGCUCCCCCGCGGCACCCGCCGUAGCCGCGUGCGCGUGGCCGUGGCGCCGGAGCGGCGGAGGAGGGGUAGGGCGGUGCUCGCCGCGGCGGACUCGACGGGCAACUACGUGGUGCCGCUGGAGCCCGCGCCGUCGGGGUUCACGCGCCCGCUCGUCGAGAUCCUGCGCGUGGCCGUGGCGCCGGAGCGGCGGAGUCGGGGUAGGGCUUCUCCGGCAAGGAGGAGGAGAGCGAGCUGGUGCCGUCCUCCCUCGCGCCCAUCGUUCCCAUCCUCAGUAUGGCGAGCUGGUGCUCCAGAGUUGGUAGCAGCAGUAUCCGUCGCCCGCAUCUCCUCUGGGAAGACGACCAAGGUAUAUAUGUGCUUCAGGCCUUGUGUGAACAGGAACGGGGUAUGGAAUGGGUGCAGCAGAUUAAUUAUAAGCGGAACCAUCCGAAUCUAG